rnacentral:rRNA from 1 species
UUAAGCCAUACAUGUUUUAGUAUAAGCUUUAAUACGGCAAAACUGCAAAGGGUUCAUUAAAACAGUUAUGGUUUUAUUGAUAAUACAUUUACAUGUGUAACCCCGGUAAUUUUACAGCUAAUACAUAAGCAAAAUCUCAUCUUGACUAGACGAGACGCAUUUAUUAGAUAAAAAUUCAAUGCAUGCUUUUACAGAAUGAAUGUUGUUCAUUUAUAAUGACUUGACAAAUCGCAAAUUGAUAACCCGCGAUAUAUCAUUCAAGUUUCUGACCUAUCAGCUUUCGACGGUAUGGUAUUGGCUUACCGUGGCAGUGACGGUUAACGGGGGAUUAGGGUUUCAUUCCGGAGAGGGAGCCUGAGAAACGGCUACCACAUCUAAGGAAGGCAGCAGGCGCGCAAAUUACCCAAUUCUAACAGUUUGAGAGAGGUAGUAACAAGAAAUAACAAUACAAGGCAAUUAAAAUGCUUUGUAAUUGGAAUGAUAGAAAUUUAAACCCUUUUUAAAGUAUCAAUUGGAGACGAAGUCUGGUGCCAGCAGCCGCGGUAAUUCCAGCUCC